rnacentral:rRNA from 1 species
AGUUUUUUUAUUCUACCAAACAAGCCCAAAAACUUAAGAGUUACUCAAAUUAGGCACAGCUUAUUUGAAACAGGAUACAACCUCCCCCAUUGGGUAAGCAUGGGCAGUAAAGACAAAGUGGGCCCAAAAGCAGCCAUCUUCCAAAAAGCGUCAAAGCUUAAUCACACUAGCCUUCAAUAUCUAAAAUAUUCCCCAGCCCCUCAUCCCUACUGAACUAUUUUAUAUCGCUAUAAAAAUAAUUAUGCUAGAACUAGUAACAAGAAGUCGCCCUUCUCCAUAAUGUAAGCAUAAACCAAAACGGACAAUCCACUGGUAAUUAACGUAAAUGCAAUACCAUAACAACACAACUAGAAAACCUUAUGGCUAUAUACACGUUACCCUGACACCAGAACAUUACAGGAAAGAUUAAAAGAGAAAGAAGGAACUCGGCAAAUUUUAACCCCGCCUGUUUACCAAAAACAUCGCCUCCUGAUUAAAUAUAGGAGGUCCAGCCUGCCCAGUGAUAAUAUUCAACGGCCGCGGUAUACUAACCGUGCGAAGGUAGCAUAAUCACUUGUUCUUUAAAUGGGGACUCGUAUCAACGGCAUCACGAGGGUUAUACUGUCUCCUCUCUCUAAUCAGUGAAACUGAUCCCCCCGUGAAGAAGCGGGGAUUUAAUUAUAAGACGAGAAGACCCCAUGGAGCUUUAAACCCAACAUACACCCUAUACCCAAACACCAACUUACCCAAUGGGGCCUGUACGUCGGUUUUAGGCUGGGGGGGCCACGGAGUAAAACUAAACCUCCACAACAAAUGGGCUAACACCCUAAUCUAUGAUUUAUAAAUCUAAGAAUCACCAAAAUGAUGUUUAAUGACCCGAUAAUUCGAUCAAUGAACCAAGUUACCCUGGGGAUAACAGCGCAAUCCACUUCGAGAGCCCUUAUCGACAAGUGGGUUUACGACCUCGAUGUUGGAUCAGGGUAUCCUAGUGGUGCAACCGCUACUA